AAUGAAUAAAAUUUUAAUGGCCGCAGUAAUUUGACUGUGCAAAGGUAGCAUAAUCAUUAGUCUUUUAAUUGAAGGCUUGUAUGAAUGGUUGGACGAAGUAUAAUCUGUUUCAUAAAAAUUUAUAAUAGAAUUUUAUAUUUUAGUGAAAAAGCUAAAAUUUUAUUAAAAGACGAGAAGACCCUAUAAAUCUUUAUAAUUUUUAUUAUUUUAAUUUUUUUGAUUAAUUUUAUUAUUAUAAUUGGAAUUAUUUUAUUGGGGUGAUAUUAAAAUUUAAAAAACUUUUAAUUUUUUUUUCAUUAAUUUAUGUUUUGUUGAUCCAUUAAUAAUGAUUAUUAGAAUAAGUUACUUUAGGGAUAACAGCGUAAUUUUUUUGGAGAGUUCUUAUUGAUAAAAAAGUUUGCGACCUCGAUGUUGGAUUAAGAAAUAAUUUUAGGUGUAGAUGCUUAAA
rnacentral:rRNA from 2 species